rnacentral:rRNA from 1 species
AUUGAACGCUGGCGGCAGGCCUAACACAUGCAAGUCGAGCGGAUGAAGGGAGCUUGCUCCUGGAUUCAGCGGCGGACGGGUGAGUAAUGCCUAGGAAUCUGCCUGGUAGUGGGGGAUAACGUCCGGAAACGGGCGCUAAUACCGCAUACGUCCUGAGGGAGAAAGUGGGGGAUCUUCGGACCUCACGCUAUCAGAUGAGCCUAGGUCGGAUUAGCUAGUUGGUGGGGUAAAGGCCUACCAAGGCGACGAUCCGUAACUGGUCUGAGAGGAUGAUCAGUCACACUGGAGCUGAGACACGGUCCAGACUCCUACGGGAGGCAGCAGUGGGGAAUAUUGGACAAUGGGCGAAAGCCUGAUCCAGCCAUGCCGCGUGUGUGAAGAAGGUCUUCGGAUUGUAAAGCACUUUAAGUUGGGAGAAAGGGCAGUAAGUUAAUACCUUGCUGUUUUGACGUUACCAACAGAAUAAGCACCGGCUAACUUCGUG